rnacentral:lncRNA from 1 species
AUCUGCGGAAGCUUGCAGCGCUAGAAUGUUUCGACAAAGGUGACAUCGAUAUGGGUAUUCACCAUCUCACAGAAAGUCAUGCAAUUGGAUUUCGCAGCAAAAUUGUAUCUCGUAUCAGCCAAGUCAAUGAAAUGCAAGCAGAAUUUCUUAGUCUUCCUCAUAUUCAUUUGAUCCUGAUCUCAUAAACUUUAGUAGUAAAUAUGCAUCGAGUAAUGAUAAAGGCCUCAUGGAGCGUUUGCAAGAAUUACCAGAAGAAUGGACAUUGGUCCAAUUGACGCAAGGCUUCUCCUCCAAAACACGUUGCACCCCCAGAGAAGCUGGAACUCCGAGCUCAAAUUCUGUUUUCCACAUCACAAGGUUUUCCUGUGGCCGGAACGCAAGGAAGCCUUGCUGUGUAACUCUACCAAAAGGAUCCAUCACAGCUGCAAAAUUAUCCUCUAUUUUUGAAAUCAUCGAAAAAGCUGUCACUCCAGUGUCAUCAAAGAAAGUCACUCCUUCAAAAAUGUUACGUGAAGCUUGCAUCCCUAACACGAGAAUCUUUUCCAAACUUCAGCCUCCGUCCAAAUCGACCCGUGAGGAGUAUGGUGAAGCUUUAAAGGUUUUGGUAGAUGAAAUCAAUUCGGAAUGGCUUCAACAAUGGAGAUGCAUGUUGCUGGGACAACUUUGCGCUAGUGAUCUCAAAAAAGAUUUACGGAAAACAGUUGAUAAAGUUCUAAGUAAAUCAAAAUUGCCAGAGAAUAGUGUCACCCUUUUAUAUCAAAUUAUGGAUGGCUCGGGUCAUUUAGAUUUAGGAGAAAUAGAAGCAGCUGUUUCCGAUUGCAUUCAUGAUAAAGAUACUCGCUGUGCAAUGAUUGAAGCUAUCAAAGAGUUCAAAGAAUCAAAUUUGAACUUAGCUGUAGCGAAGCGUUAUCCUGUGUUAUUAAUUUUAGAUGAGAUUUUAGAUAAAGUACCUUGGGAAAUGAUUCCAGUGCUAAGAAGACAUCCUGUCAGCCGAAUAUUUUCUGUUCACUUUGCCCAUGCAAUGUAUGAUAGGUUCAAACAGCAACUUCCAAUGAAAGAUGGAUGCUUUAUCAUUGAAAAACCGGAAGAUGGCUACUAUGUGAUAAAUCCAGGUAAAGAUUUGAGCAAGAUGGAGGAAAAAAUGUGUGAUUUUAUAUCUAGUCGUGUUCCGUCUUGGAAUGGCAUUGCUGGCAGUUUUCCACCAGAUAAAGAAUUUGCUGCUGCUUUAAAGAAUCACUCCUUCCUUUUGUAAGUUUUAGUGUAAACUUAUACAUUAUAAUAAAAUAAUGAAGAUUUAUUUGUAUGUUGCUUAAAAGAAAGGUUGCACUUAGGAUUAAAAAUACAUCAAGAACUAUUUGGAAGAAUAGUACAAAGAAAGAACAGCGAAACUGCAAAAAUGUGUAUCUUGGUUACAGUGUUCCAAAAUCUUCGCUCUUGUUUCAUUUUUUGAAAAUAAACCAAAUUAAAAUAAUGGUUUGAAAUUUUUGUAGAAUAUUCUUCACAUACAGAAGAAAAAUUAGAGAAUUAGUCAAGAAAUGACAUCCUUUAGUUUUUGAUGUAGAAAAUGAAGUAUGACAGAAAGUCUGCUAAGCAGCAAACGGAGAUACGCAUUUCUGCAGUUUCAUCAUUGGAAUAAAUCAAGAAUAGAGUACAUGCAAAAAGAAUUUAAUCAGGUUUUACUAAGAUUAUGUAAGUAAAAUCCAAGUAAACAGAUUGUUUAUUUAUGAGCCAAAUGCUUUGCUGCAAACCAAUGGUACUUGUGCUAUUGAGUGAAAGGAAUACCAUGUGCAAGUCUGAACUUCCCUUUUGGUGAGACACAGGUUUAGAUCAAUUAAAGUGAAGACCGUUCAAAGGCAAAUAGAAUUCGAUUAGACUGGAUCAGAGAUGACUUUU